rnacentral:rRNA from 1 species
GAUGAACGCUAGCGGCAGGCUUAACACAUGCAAGUCGAGGGGUAUUGGUUUUCGGACCAAGAGACCGGCGCACGGGUGCGUAACGCGUAUGCAAUCUACCUUUUGCAGAGGGAUAGCCCAGAGAAAUUUGGAUUAAUACCUCAUAGUAUAGUACUUUGGCAUCAAGGAACUAUUAAAGUCACAACGGCAAAAGAUGAGCAUGCGUCCCAUUAGCUAGUUGGUAAGGUAACGGCUUACCAAGGCUACGAUGGGUAGGGGUCCUGAGAGGGAGAUCCCCCACACUGGUACUGAGACACGGACCAGACUCCUACGGGAGGCAGCAGUGAGGAAUAUUGGACAAUGGGCGCAAGCCUGAUCCAGCAUGCCGCGUGCAGGAUGACGGUCCUAUGGAUUGUAAACUGCUUUGUACGAGAAGAAACAACAUUACGUGUAAUGUCUUGACGGUAUCG